rnacentral:rRNA from 1 species
AGUGGAUCCUGAGUACGACGGAGCACGUGAAAUUCCGUCGGAAUCUAGGAGGACCAUCUCCUAAGGCUAAAUACUCUCUAGUGACCGAUAGUGAACCAGUACCGUGAGGGAAAGGUGAAAAGUACCCCGGAAGGGGAGUGAAAGAGAACUUGAAACCGUGUGCUUACAAGUAGUCAGAGCCCGUUAAUGGGUGAUGGCGUGCCUUUUGUAGAAUGAACCGGCGAGUUACGA